UUAUUUCUCAUUUUAUUAUAUUUUUUCAUGACAUCAAAGGAAGCAUUAAAGUAAGAGAUAAUUUAUAAAUAAAAAAGGGGGACAAGAGGCGAAACAUAUCCGAAAAAUAAAGACUUCUCAGAGCGUUUAAUGUAUGUCGAGUAUUUUAGUGGGAAACUCUUUUUAAGCGUUAAUAAUUUCACACUCUCGUUUUUACUUUACGAGUUUAAAUACAACCACAGAUGUUUAUUAUAGAAUAAUAUCACGAAAGCUUCCAGACAACCGAUCAAUAUUAAAAGUCGAUUAUAAAAUGUUUUAUCAUCUCUGUUGAGGCACCAGAUAAAUCUGCAGAAGAAGACCGGGAAAUAUAAGUAGAAUUAAAUAUGUAGGAAAACCCCCAAAACAACAACAAAAAAACCCUAAAAAAAAAAACGGGGGACCAAAGCGGAGCUUCAAGGCUGCACCGUCCUCUCACAUUCCAGCACGUCGUAAAAAAGGGGGAUUUAGAGCGACUUAUUUCCUUAAAACUGUCCUCCCAUCCACUGAGCCAGCCAGUCUGCUACCGUCAGCCCGCUGCAGGCCCUGCACCAAAAUGUACAAACAAUAUUUCCAGGUGGGUUCCCACCGGGGAGACACCUGAGCAGUUGGGGACUCGCAGCCACCGCACCUGCGGGGUACAGCCAGCCAUGCAAUUAAAAAAAAAAAAAAAAAAAAAAAGCUUCUCCGUUUGGCGACGUGCGGAACGACUUUUCACUGACUGCACUUGAAACGGUUCCUGCAGGAGGAAGAUGUGCUCGAAGAGAAACAGACUUCUUUAUAUGAAGAUUUCGAUCGUGGGGAAGCGGCGGUGUGGAUCACGAAGCUGGAUUUCUUUUAACAGCACAGCCGAGGGGAGAAAAGUUGGGAGAUGUUUGAGAAAGAGGAGCUGCGACACAUUCAGGAGUUUGCCAACAAACAAAACAGAUGCAAUUAAACACACACUCGCCUUCAGAUCAUCUCUGAGGAGACAAAGUCGAGUCUGGUGGAAAGCCGACAAGGACAAACAAGGAGGGAGAGGACUCUGCUGCCUCAAGGUUAACGCUGACUGAAUGAACUCUCGUCUUCACACUAUCAGUCUCGCCACAAAGACACAUCACUCAUUGCUUUUUAUAGCAUCUGUGCUCUUUUUAGAAGUUGACACGAUGCUCAGUUGAUGUUUUAUUUUUGUAUCAUUGCAGAAAAAUUAAACCAAUUUUAUUUAU